UACGUAGGGUGCGAGCGUUAAUCGGAAUUACUGGGCGUAAAGCGUGCGCAGGCGGUUUUGUAAGCCAGAUGUGAAAUCCCCGGGCUUAACCUGGGAAUGGCAUUUGGGACUGCAAGGCUGGAGUGUGGCAGAGGAGACUGGAAUUCCCGGUGUAGCAGUGAAAUGCGUAGAUAUCGAGAGGAACACCUGCGGCGAAGGCGGGUUGCUGGGCUGACACUGACGCUGAGGCGCGAAAGCGUGGGGAGCAAACAGG
rnacentral:rRNA from 1 species